GAUGAACGCUGGCGGCGUGCCUAACACAUGCAAGUCGAGCGAUUCUCUUCGGAGAAGAGCGGCGGACGGGUGAGUAACGCGUGGGUAACCUGCCCUGUACACACGGAUAACAUACCGAAAGGUAUGCUAAUGCGAGAUAAUAUGCUUUUAUCGCAUGGUAGAAGUAUCAAAGCUUUUGCGGUACAGGAUGGACCCGCGUCUGAUUAGCUAGUUGGUAAGGUAACGGCUUACCAAGGCGACGAUCAGUAGCCGACCUGAGAGGGUGAUCGGCCACAUUGGAACUGAGACACGGUCCAAACUCCUACGGGAGGCAGCAGUGGGGAAUAUUGCACAAUGGGCGAAAGCCUGAUGCAGCAACGCCGCGUGAGCGAUGAAGGCCUUCGGGUCGUAAAGCUCUGUCCUCAAGGAAGAUAAUGACGGUACUUGAGGAGGAAGCCCCGGCUAACUACGUGCCAGCAGCCGCGGUAAUACGUAGGGGGCUAGCGUUAUCCGGAAUUACUGGGCGUAAAGGGUGCGUAGGUGGUUUCUUAAGUCAGAGGUGAAAGGCUACGGCUCAACCGUAGUAAGCCUUUGAAACUGGGAAACUUGAGUGCAGGAGAGGAGAGUGGAAUUCCUAGUGUAGCGGUGAAAUGCGUAGAUAUUAGGAGGAACACCAGUUGCGAAGGCGGCUCUCUGGACUGUAACUGACACUGAGGCACGAAAGCGUGGGGAGCAAACAGGAUUAGAUACCCUGGUAGUCCACGCCGUAAACGAUGAGUACUAGCUGUCGAGGUUACCCCCCUUCGGUGGCGCAGCUAACGCAUUAAGUACUCCGGCCUGGGAAGUACGCUCGCAAGAGUGAAACUCAAAGGAAAUGACGGGGACCCGCACAAGUAGCGGAGCAUGUGGUUUAAUUCGAAGCAACGCGAAGAACCUUACCUAAGCUUGACAUCCUUUUGACCGAUGCCUAAUCGCAUCUUUCCCUUCGGGGACAGAAGUGACAGGUGGUGCAUGGUUGUCGUCAGCUCGUGUCGUGAGAUGUUGGGUUAAGUCCCGCAACGAGCGCAACCCUUGCCUUUAGUUGCCAGCAUUAAGUUGGGCACUCUAGAGGGACUGCCAGGGAUAACCUGGAGGAAGGUGGGGAUGACGUCAAAUCAUCAUGCCCCUUAUGCUUAGGGCUACACACGUGCUACAAUGGGUGGUACAGAGGGCAGCCAAGUCGUGAGGCGGAGCUAAUCCCUUAAAGCCAUUCUCAGUUCGGAUUGUAGGCUGAAAACUCGCCUACAUGAAAGCUGGAGUUACUAGUAAUCGCAGAUCAGAAUGCUGCGGUGAAUGCGUUCCCGGGUCU
rnacentral:rRNA from 1 species